rnacentral:rRNA from 1 species
UGGGGAAUAUUGGACAAUGGGGGAAACCCUGAUCCAGCAAUGCCGCGUGUGUGAAGAAGGCCUUCGGGUUGUAAAGCACUUUUAUCGGGAACGAAACGUUGUCGGUUAAUACCCGGCAAAACUGACGGUACCCGAGGAAUAAGCACCGGCUAACUCCGUGCCAGCAGCCGCGGUAAUACGAAGGGGGCUAGCGUUGUUCGGAAUUACUGGGCGUAAAGCGAACGUAGGCGGUGUUCCAUGUCAGAGGUGAAAGCCUGGGGCUCAACUCCAGAAUUGCCUUUGAAACGGGGACGCUUGAGUCCGAGAGAGGAUGGCGGAAUUCCUAGUGUAGAGGUGAAAUUCGUAGAUAUUAGGAAGAACACCGGUGGCGAAGGCGGCCAUCUGGCUCGGUACUGACGCUCAGGUUCGAAAGCGUGGGGAGCAAAC